CUCGGAUAUUUAAUUACAAAAUAUUUAGAAAAUAAUAAUGAAAUAGAAAAAUUUGAAAAAAUUUAGACACCAAUGAUGUUUUGAUGUAGUAAUUAUUGUUAAAAUUAAAGAUACAGAAAUUGAAACAACAAGAGCAAGCUAAAAGAGACGUCCUAACUCCCAAAUACCUGGUGAGGUAGACACUUCGCUUGGAGUUGGGCCUGAUAUUGGACCUGGCAC
rnacentral:misc_RNA from 1 species